rnacentral:rRNA from 1 species
CCAAAAGUCUAGCCUUACACUCACCCAUAUCUCUCCUCAAACUAGAAAUCAAAAUAUUUUAGCAGUCCAGUAAAGAAGAUUAAAAAACUUUUAAGAGCAAUAAACACGUACCGCAAGGGAAAGAUGAAAUAAAAUGAAAUAAAUCUCAAGCACAAAGAAAUAGAGAUUCCCCCUCGUACCUUUUGCAUCAUGGUUUAGCUAGUCCAACUAGGCAGAAAGCCCUUUAAGUCUAACUCCCCGAAACUAAGUGAGCUAUUUUAGGGCUGCUUAAUGAGCUAACCCGUCUAUGUUGAAAAAUAGUGGGAGGACCCUAAAAUAGAGGUGAAAGACCUAACGAACUUAGUUAUAGCUGGUUUCUCAAGAAAAGAAUCUUAGUCCAACCUAAAGUAUAGUUUCAUCUACACAAAUCACCCCCCUUACUUUAGAGCAAUUCAAAUAAGGUACAGCCUAUUUGAUACAGGACCCAACCUUGACCAAUGGGUAACAUCAAUUUACAUCUAUAAGUAGGCCUAAGAGCAGCCACCUUUUAAAAAGCGUCAAAGCUUACAACGUUUAUUCUAAUUCCACAGCCCACAUGGACCCCUUCAACUGUACUGAGAAAUUCUAUAAUACUAUAGAGCCUUUUAUGCUAAAACUAGUAACAAGAGUUAACCCCUCUCCACAAUGCAAGUAUAAGCCAGCAAGAACCCACCACUGGCAGCUAACAGACCUAAACAAAAAUAGCAACUUAUACCAGAAAACUCUAUUUUACUCACUGUUAACCUUACACCAGAGCAUUUCAAGAAAGAUUAAAAGAAAAAGAAGGAACUCGGCAAACAUCAGCCCCGCCUGUUUACCAAAAACAUCGCCUCUUGCCCAUAUAAGAGGUCUAGCCUGCCCAGUGACUCUUGUUCAACGGCCGCGGUAUCCUAACCGUGCGAAGGUAGCGUAAUCA